rnacentral:rRNA from 1 species
CGGCUCGUAAACCCCUGUCCAUUUGCGAACAAACCUUACGAUUUAACAGAUCGUGAGCUGAUUGUAGCCGAAAGAGGAAGGGACGGCUAACUCCUGUGC